rnacentral:rRNA from 1 species
CCUACGGGUGGCAGCAGUGAGGAAUAUUGGUCAAUGGGCGUACGCCUGAACCAGCCAAGUCGCGUGAGGGAAGACUGCACUAUGGGUUGUAAACCUCUUUUGUCAGGGAGCAACGCCGGCUACGUGUAGCCGGACUGAGAGUACCUGAAGAAAAAGCAUCGGCUAACUCCGUGCCAGCAGCCGCGGUAAUACGGAGGAUGCGAGCGUUAUCAGGAUUGAUUGGGUUAAAAGGGUGCGUAGGCGGAAUGCCAAGUCAGCGGUAAAAUCGCGGGGCUCAACCGCGCUCCGCCGUUGAAACUGGCGUUAUUGAGUGGGCGAGAAGUAUGCGGAAUGCGUGGUGUAGCGGUGAAAUGCAUAGAUAUCACGCAGAACUCCGAGUGCGAAGGCAGCAUACCGGCGCCCAACUGACGCUGAAGCACGAAAGCGUGGGUAUCGAACAGGAUUAGAUACCCUUGUAGUC